rnacentral:rRNA from 1 species
UACAGAGGGUGCAAGCGUUGUUCGGAAUUAUUGGGCGUAAAGGGCGCGUAGGCGGUGCGGUAAGUCUGUAGUGAAAUCUCUGGGCUCAACUCAGAGUCUGCUGCAGAAACUGCCGUGCUUGAGUGUGGGAGAGGUGAGUGGAAUUCCUGGUGUAGUGGUGAAAUGCGUAGAGAUCAGGAGGAACACCGGUGGCGAAGGCGGCCCACUGGGCAGUCACUGACGCUGAGGCGCGAAAGCUCGGGGAGCGAACGGG